rnacentral:lncRNA from 1 species
GUAAGAUAAAUAUCCUUUCUCAACCAAUUUGUGAGCCUGAACAUAAGAUAUAACCCUCUUAGGACCCGAAUUAAGUGUACCCUUUCCAAGCUAUCCUAGUCACACCAACUAAAGCUAAAGUCAGAGUCCUAGUAAAAUAAUCUAAGACAACAUGAUAAGGAGCCAAACAAUCCAUAUCUAAAAUAACAUCAAAAUCGACCAUAUCUAAUACAAGCAAGUCUACCAAAGUUUUACAUCCGGCAAAAGUCAUAAUACAAGAUCAGUACACUCGAUCCACCACUAAAGAAUCACCUACCGAGGUAGAUACAUGAAUAGGCAUGGCAAGAG